rnacentral:rRNA from 1 species
GCCAAGGAAUAGAAAAUGAAAAGGGCGUGCUUUUCUUUCGGAAUGCAUUGCCUUCUUUCAAGAAUCAAAAUGACUCUCGGCAACGGAUAUCUCGGCUCUCGCAUCGAUGAAGAACGCAGCAAAAUGCGAUACUUGGUGUGAAUUGCAGAAUCCCGUGAAUCAUCGAGUUUUUGAACGCAAGUUGCGCCCGAAGCCUUUCGGCCAAGGGCACGCCUGCCUGGGUGUCACGCAUACGUCGCCCCAUCCUCUCGACACCUCGGGAGUCAUGGGAGCAGAAGUUGGCCUCCUGUGUGCCUUGCGCAUGUGGUUGGCCCAAAAUGCAUGUUCGCGGCAAAUGAUAGCCAUGACGAUCGGUGGUUGUAAAGACCCUCUGAAAAAGUCGUGCGCUGUUCUUAGCCGUCGGGACAUUCCUUGACCCUAGGGCGUCCUCAGGGCGCGCUCCGACCGCGACCCCAGGUCAGGCGGGACUACCCGCUGAGUUUAAGCAUAUCAAUAAGCGG